rnacentral:rRNA from 1 species
UGGGGAAUUUUGGACAAUGGGCGCAAGCCUGAUCCAGCCAUGCCGCGUGUCUGAAGAAGGCCUUCGGGUUGUAAAGGACUUUUGUCAGGGAAGAAAAGGCUGUCGCUAAUACCGACAGCUGAUGACGGUACCUGAAGAAUAAGCACCGGCUAACUACGUGCCAGCAGCCGCGGUAAUACGUAGGGUGCGAGCGUUAAUCGGAAUUACUGGGCGUAAAGCGAGCGCAGACGGUUACUUAAGCAGGAUGUGAAAUCCCCGGGCUCAACCUGGGAACUGCGUUCUGAACUGGGUGACUAGAGUGUGUCAGAGGGAGGUAGAAUUCCACGUGUAGCAGUGAAAUGCGUAGAGAUGUGGAGGAAUACCGAUGGCGAAGGCAGCCUCCUGGGAUAACACUGACGUUCAUGCUCGAAAAGCGUGGGUAGCAAACAGGAUUAGAUACCCUGGUAGUCCACGCCCUAAACGAUGUCAAUUAGCUGUUGGGCAACUUGAUUGCUUAGUAGCGUAGCUACGCGUGAAAUUGACCGCCUGGGGAGUACGGUCGCAAGAUUA